rnacentral:rRNA from 1 species
UGCUCCUUGAUUCAGCGGCGGACGGGUGAGUAAUGCCUAGGAAUCUGCCUGGUAGUGGGGGACAACGUUCCGAAAGGAGCGCUAAUACCGCAUACGUCCUACGGGAGAAAGUGGGGGAUCUUCGGACCUCACGCUAUCAGAUGAGCCUAGGUCGGAUUAGCUAGUUGGUGAGGUAAAGGCUCACCAAGGCGACGAUCCGUAACUGGUCUGAGAGGAUGAUCAGUCACACUGGAACUGAGACACGGUCCAGACUCCUACGGGAGGCAGCAGUGGGGAAUAUUGGACAAUGGGCGAAAGCCUGAUCCAGCCAUGCCGCGUGUGUGAAGAAGGUCUUCGGAUUGUAAAGCACUUUAAGUUGGGAGGAAGGGCAGUAAGUUAAUACCUUGCUGUUUUGACGUUACCGACAGAAUAAGCACCGGCUAACUCUGUGCCAGCAGCCGCGGUAAUACAGAGGGUGCAAGCGUUAAUCGGAAUUACUGGGCGUAAAGCGCGCGUAGGUGGUUCGUUAAGUUGGAUGUGAAAGCCCCGGGCUCAACCUGGGAACUGCAUCCAAAACUGGCGAGCUAGAGUAUGGUAGAGGGUGGUGGAAUUUCCUGUGUAGCGGUGAAAUGCGUAGAUAUAGGAAGGAACACCAGUGGCGAAGGCGACCACCCUGGACUGAUACUGACACUGAGGUGCGAAAGCGUGGGGAGCAAAACAGGAUUAGAUACCCUGGUAGUCCACGCCGUAAACGAUGUCAACUAGCCGUUGGAAUCCUUGAGAUUUUAGUGGCGCAGCUAACGCAUUAAGUUUGACCGCCUGGGGAGUACGGCCGCAAGGUUAAAACUCAAAUGAAUUGACGGGG